rnacentral:lncRNA from 1 species
AAUACGUUCAGGUAUUUCACAUCCAUUUUUUAUGGAAAUAUUCUUUAUAAAGCACAAAGGUGUCAGUAUUCACCUCAGAAACUUACAUAACCUUUGAACAGACUUAUUAAGAAGGGAUAUAAUUACGAUACUGUUGUCAAGUCAUUAAAGAUUGCAUAUUUUGGCGUUAAUAUUGAGUCACUGAUAAGGUCUUUGCAUCGGAACUAAACACAUUUAUUCUAAAAACAGUUGUUGGCAUGACAUGGGUUAAGUUCUUCUCAUAUAUGUUAUGAUGGUAUGAUACUAAACCCCUAACGGG